rfam:Felis catus isolate Cinnamon breed Abyssinian chromosome A1, whole genome shotgun sequence.
GCCUGGGUGGCUCAGUCGGUUGAGCGUCCGACUUCAGCUCCGGUCAUGGCCUCGCAGUUCGUGGGUUCAAGCCCCACGUCAGGCU